rnacentral:rRNA from 1 species
CCUACGGGAGACAGCAGUGAGGAAUAUUGGUCAAUGGCCGGAAGGCUGAACCAGCCAUGCAGCGUGAAGGUCAGUUCCCUAUGGGCGUUAAACUUCUUUUGUGCGGGAACAAUACUGGUCACGUGUGGCCAGGCGAGAGUACCGUACGAAUAAGCAUCGGCUCACUCCGUGCCAGCAGCCGCGGUAAUUCGGGGGGUGCAAGCGUUAUCCCGAUUUAUUGGGUUUAAAGGGUGCGUAGGCUGUUGGUGAAGUCAGGGUUGGAAUGCCCCCGCGUAACGGGGUGAAGUGCCAUUGAUACUGUGUUGCUUGAAGACGGAUGCGGUGGAAGGAAUGGGUGGUGUAGCGGUGAAAUGCGUAGAUAUCACACAGAACACCGAUGGCGAAGGC